rfam:Asian citrus Psyllid, Diaphorina citri - Florida Strain, whole genome shotgun sequence.
GCUAGUUAUGAUAGCACGUUGACCACUCCAGUUCCCAAUAGAUCACUGAAGUUGAGCAACGUUGCGCUUGGUUAGUAUCCGGCUGGGUGACCAUCUGGGAAAUCCCGUGCUGGCU